rnacentral:rRNA from 1 species
CCUACGGGCGGCAGCAGUAGGGAAUCUUCGGCAAUGGGGGCAACCCUGACCGAGCAACGCCGCGUGAGUGAAGAAGGUUUUCGGAUCGUAAAACUCUGUUGUUAGAGAAGAACGUUAAGUAGAGUGGAAAAUUACUUAAGUGACGGUAUCUAACUAGAAAGGGACGGCUAACUACGUGCCAGCAGACGCGGUAAUACGUAGGUUACAAGCGUAGUCCGGAUUUAUUGGUGGUAAAGAGUGCGCAGAUGGUUUAUGAAGUCUGGUGUAAAAGGCAGUGGCUCAACCAUUGUAUGCAUUGGAAACUGGUAGACUUGAGUGCAGGAGAGGAGAGUGGAAUUCCAUGUGUAGCGGUGAGAUGCGUAGAUAUAUGGAGGAACACCGGUUGCGAAAGCGGCUCUCUGGCCUGUAACUGACACUGAGGCUCGAAAGCGUGGGGAGCAAACAGGAUUAGAUACCCUAGUAGUC